CUGAUGCGGCAAGGAUUAUGAGGGAACUUCAGAGCUUAUAUCCUGUAAGUAUUAUUAGAAACCUCUCAUAUUACAUAUAUGAAUUGUAAGGUCAAAAUGUCAAAUGUUUCCUCAGCAUUUUAACUAGCUGUAAUUUCGGUAGUUUCUUUGACACAAGUGAAGAAAAGAAAAAAAAUCUUACAUUAGCAGGUCUGUAACUUCCAAACUGAAUAUCAAAACCUAUAAACCUUGUGCAGAACAAUCAGGUUGCAAACUCGUGAUGCACUUGUAUUUCAGCCUUCUUAUUACACCAUAUAUCUUUCGGGAUGUAGAGACCGAGUUUUAUUUAAUCCAUUAUCUAAAAAAAUUACACCAUAUAUCUGGUAGUUACUUGGGAAAAAAUGAUCAUACGUAGAAGAAAUUGAAGCACACCCAAUAAUUUAAACACAGCAGACUCUAAAUACCUUCUUAUGAUGAGAAGUAGCCGAUUACGAAUUUUCAUUGACCUGCAAAAUGGAUGAGAAAUGUAUGUAAAUGCAGACAGCUUCAGUGUAAACCAAUACUUUCUUAUUUCUUUUAGACUGACAUUUCUGAUGUUAGAUUGCACGGUUUUAUAUCCAAUCUGGAUGUGUAACCAUUAGCAUUUAGUAAAACGUUGAAUAGGUCUUAUCAUCAUCCUUAUUUCUCGCACUCUUGCAUUAGGUACUCUUCUUAACAGAAGGAGGAACAGCUCAACACAAAGAUUCAAGAAGGAACUCACUUGAUGAAGCUAUCCGGGUCUGCCUAGAGUACGAGUUGCAUGGACUUGUAUCAGAGGUAAGAGGGGUUUUAAAGAAUCCCUCUGCAGUCCUUAGAGCA
rnacentral:lncRNA from 1 species